CGUCACGCCCGCUGUAAAAUGUAAUCAUCAGAGCGUCCUCUCAACCGCUUGGUGUUACUUCUUACAGUGAGUGCGACG
rfam:Drosophila virilis strain TSC#15010-1051.87 Ctg01_15472, whole genome shotgun sequence.